UCUUUUUCCACCGGAGCUUGCUCCACCGGAAAAAGANGAGUGGCGAACGGGUGAGUAACACGUGGGUAACCUGCCCAUCAGAAGGGGAUAACACUUGGAAACAGGUGCUAAUACCGUAUAACAAUCNAAACCGCAUGGUUUUGAUUUGAAAGGCGCUUUCGGGUGUCGCUGAUGGAUGGACCCGCGGUGCAUUAGCUAGUUGGUGAGGUAACGGCUCACCAAGGCCACGAUGCAUAGCCGACCUGAGAGGGUGAUCGGCCACAUUGGGACUGAGACACGGCCCAAACUCCUACGGGAGGCAGCAGUAGGGAAUCUUCGGCAAUGGACGAAAGUCUGACCGAGCAACGCCGCGUGAGUGAAGAAGGUUUUCGGAUCGUAAAACUCUGUUGUUAGAGAAGAACAAGGAUGAGAGUAACUGUUCAUCCCUUGACGGUAUCUAACCAGAAAGCCACGGCUAACUACGUGCCAGCAGCCGCGGUAAUACGUAGGUGGCAAGCGUUGUCCGGAUUUAUUGGGCGUAAAGCGAGCGCAGGCGGUUUCUUAAGUCUGAUGUGAAAGCCCCCGGCUCAACCGGGGAGGGUCAUUGGAAACUGGGAGACUUGAGUGCAGAAGAGGAGAGUGGAAUUCCAUGUGUAGCGGUGAAAUGCGUAGAUAUAUGGAGGAACACCAGUGGCGAAGGCGGCUCUCUGGUCUGUAACUGACGCUGAGGCUCGAAAGCGUGGGGAGCAAACAGGAUUAGAUACCCUGGUAGUCCACGCCGUAAACGAUGAGUGCUAAGUGUUGGAGGGUUUCCGCCCUUCAGUGCUGCAGCAAACGCAUUAAGCACUCCGCCUGGGG
rnacentral:rRNA from 1 species